rnacentral:rRNA from 1 species
AUUGAACGCUGGCGACAUGCCUUACACAUGCAAGUCGAACGGCAGCACGGGUGCUUGCACCUGGUGGCGAGUGGCGAACGGGUGAGUAAUACAUCGGAACAUGUCCUGUAGUGGGGGAUAGCCCGGCGAAAGCCGGAUUAAUACCGCAUACGGUCUACGGAGGAAAGCGGGGGACCUUCGGGCCUCGCGCUAUAGGGUUGGCCGAUGGCUGAUUAGCUAGUUGGUGGGGUAAAGGCCUACCAAGGCGACGAUCAGUAGCUGGUCUGAGAGGACGACCAGUCACACUGGGACUGAGACACGGCCCAGACUCCUACGGGAGGCAGCAGUGGGGAAUUUUGGACAAUGGGCGAAAGCCUGAUCCAGCAAUGCCGCGUGUGUGAAGAAGGCCUUCGGGUUGUAAAGCACUUUUGUCCGGAAAGAAAUCCUUGGCCCUAAUACGGUCGGGGGAUGACGGUACCGGAAGAAUAAGCACCGGCUAACUACGUG